rnacentral:rRNA from 1 species
UACGGGAUAAUAUAUUUGAGAGGCAUCUCUUAAAUAUCAAAGGUGAGCCAGUACAGGAUGGACCCGCGUCUGAUUAGCUAGUUGGUAAGGUAACGGCUUACCAAGGCGACGAUCAGUAGCCGACCUGAGAGGGUGAUCGGCCACAUUGGAACUGAGACACGGUCCAAACUCCUACGGGAGGCAGCAGUGGGGAAUAUUGCACAAUGGGCGAAAGCCUGAUGCAGCAACGCCGCGUGAGUGAUGAAGGCCUUCGGGUCGUAAAACUCUGUCCUCAAGGAAGAUAAUGACGGUACUUGAGGAGGAAGCCCCGGCUAACUACGUGCCAGCAGCCGCGGUAAUACGUAGGGGGCUAGCGUUAUCCGGAUUUACUGGGCGUAAAGGGUGCGUAGGCGGUCUUUCAAGUCAGG